UACAGAGGUCUCAAGCGUUGUUCGGAAUCACUGGGCGUAAAGGGUGCGUAGGCCGCACGGUAAGUCAGAGGUGAAAUCCCGGAGCUCAACUUCGGAAUUGCCUCCGAUACUGCCGUGCUUGAGGACUGGAGGGGAGAUUGGAAUUCACAGUGGAGCAGUGAAAUGCGUAGAUAUUGUGAGGAACACUAGUGGCGAAGGCGAAUCUCUGGACAGUUCCUGACGCUGAGGCACGAAGGCCAGGGGAGCAAACGGG
rnacentral:rRNA from 1 species